rnacentral:rRNA from 1 species
GACGAACGCUGGCGGCGUGCCUAAUACAUGCAAGUCGAACGCGAGCGGCCGGUGCUUGACCUGGACCAUCUAGUGGCGAACGGGUGAGUAACACGUGGGUCACCUGUCCACCAGAGGGGGAUCACCUUCGGAGACGGAUGCUAAAACCGCAGAGGGCUUAGAACCGCCUGGAUUGAAGUGAAAAAGAGGCGCAAGCUACUGCUGAUGGAUGGACCCGCGGUGCAUUAGCUAGUUGGUGGGGUAACGGCUCACCAAGGCCGUGAUGCAUAGCCGACGUGAGAGGGUGAUCGGCCACCUUGGGACUGAGACACGGCCCAAGCUCCUCCGGGAGGGGGCAGUGGGGAAUGUUCCGCAAUGGACGCAAGGCUGACGGAGCAACGCCGCGCGAGGUAAGAAGGUUUGCGGAUCGUAGAACUCUGUUGUUAGAGAAGAAUAAGUGCUAGAGUAACUGGUAGCGCCUUGACGGUAUCUAACCAGAAAGCCACGGCUAACUACGUG